CACACACCAUGAUCUCUACAUCACUACUGCUGCUGCUGGCAGCCGUACACUGUGGUCACUGUGUUGAGCUGAUCCAGAUCAGAUCCACAGUAUUAACCCCUGGUCAGUCACUGACUCUGACCUGUAAAGUGUCUGGAUAUUCAGUAACAAGUACCUACUGUACAGGCUGGAUACGACAACCUGCAGGAAAAACUCUGGAGUGGGUCGGACUCAUAUGUUAUGAUGGAAGCACUUACUACAGUGAGAAACUGAAAAGCAGGAUUCAGGUUACCAGAGACACGUCCAGCAGCACAGUAACAUUAACAGGACAGAACAUGCAGACUGAAGACACAGCUGUGUAUUACUGCGCUCGUUACCCACACAAUGUGUAUGGUGAGGACCUGAUUCAGCCUGCUUCAAUGACAGUCCAGCCAGGCCAGAGUCUCUCCAUCAACUACAAGGAUUCAUAUUCACUUACUACAAGUUUUCAUUCACCUUUGAUCCGAGAACUUCCAGUAACAGUGUGA